GUACACCCUCCUGUGGACCAGAGCAAACUCUGCCAAGACACCAGUCAUGUUUUUGAGGCUUCUCUCCCAAGCAGACUCUGCAACCUCUCUGAAAGAAUGUGCAAACUACAGCAUGUUAGUGGCAGCCUCACAUACUGAUCCUAGAGCACCUAUAUCUUCCUCAGUGUCAACUUCAAAACAACCUUUCUGUGAAGCUUUGUUAGCUCUAAUAGGAUGCAUGUCUCAUCGACAAAGUGAUUCAGAAAAUGCAAGCAGUCGUCUUCAUCACAGUCCUAUGGACUUCCAGGCUGAGGUGACAUGCAGGGCAGGAUUGACAGGUAGGCCAAAGUUCUGGGUAGAGAAGGUGGCACCAGGCAAAAGGUUUGGAAAUUGAGUGGAGGGCCUAGGACCAUUGCAGCCAGGAACUGAGAAAACUGGGGUUGGGACUCGGGGAGAGGGAAGCUGUAGACCAUAGACUGUAGUCUGAGCCUGAGACUCAGGGAAGGAUGCGGUUGAGAGCAUGGAGAGGGUGUCCUUGGGAGAGGACCUAGGAAACAAGCCUCCAUGAAAGGGCCCUGGAGCAGGAGCUGGAGCCUAAUUGACAUACCAUCACCCCAUCCCUUCAUGCCCAGCCUCUCUCUGCUGGGAUCUCUCCCUGGCAACCGGCCUUUUAUCAAUCCCUUCUACCUGGCUGGCAAAUCCUGAGCUUCACUCCAGGUGGUCACAAUCUGACCCUUGUGACCUCAUGCUUCCCCACCCCCAUUUGUGAUUCCAUCACGGGAAGUUCUUCUCCAGUGGCCCCUGAUCCAGGGAGACCCACCCUGCAACAGCCCUUGUCUCCCUCCACCCUUGCUUCCUUCUCGCCCAUCUUACCACUAUCUGCCCAGGGGAGCCAGAUUUCCCAAAUUUUGAAGAGAAAAUAAUCGAGGCUCAUUUCCAGGACAGAGGGGCGAGCUGGGUCUAAAGAGCCAAGCAGAAAGGCUUCCCAAAAUCACUAGGUUGGGAGCAGUCAGAGAUGUGUGGCUGCCCCAGCUGUUCUGACUCUGCCCCAGCUUUUGGCUCCACCCCCUUAAAUCACCUUCAGAGGUUCCCAUGGUGACAGUAAACAAGUCUCCACUGCCUUGCCCAUGUGCUGUGUUCACCCCACUCCUGAUCUUGUUGGCUGCUCAGGGGCUGACAGCCCAGAUGCGCAGCUGUGAUGAGCAGAAACAGGGAGGAAUGGAGCCCCCAGUAAGUCAUGUAUCCAUUAAAAGGAUAUCUGGAAACCUCCAAAAGGAAGCCAAGCAUAGACUACUUGGAAGAACUUGAAGGAGCGAGAGCUGACCCCAUCUUUGUACACUGGCAGCACAAGGACAACAAUCAACACAGAAGACUUCUGUGACCAAAUGUGUGCACGUUUCUCUCCAUACACCAAGCAAGCAAUCUAUUCUGCAGCAGACACCAACUGGAUGUCCUCCAAUUCAAUUCAAUUCUGACACUGUCUACCUGGAAAUGGCCUCAGCAACCACAGAAUGGCAGAUGAAAAAAAACCAAGUCACUGAAACACUGAAACUCCCUCUGCUUUUGAGGUAAAAGAACUGCCUAACAUUGGUUGGGACCAAGAUGGCCUACUAGAACAAGCUUGCUGAAACUGCAGCCUGAAUUUCCACUGUUUGUUUCCUACUAACUUCUCCCAAAUUUGCACAUAUGACUCAUAAGGUAGCAUGAAGAGAUAACUGCACAUGCCUGAGGACUUUUCAGAUGAUGCUUACCUUCCACCAAUCACCUGCUAACCCCAGUAUCCACCCAAUAAAACUUUUCUAAAACUGCCUUGGAGCCAACACAGGAGACAG